AGUGUAUCGCGGCUAUGUUGUUUACCUGUUUUGAAGUGCCGUCGGCCAUCUUCCAAUUGUAAUUGAAGAAAUACCAGUGAGGGUCAGUGACGUUUCAUGAGUUACAAUGCACAGGGUGAGAGUUCAUGGGUGAGAUUAUAAUUAAAUUCUUCAUUUCAUGGGCAUAAUUCAGUUUCGCGUCAUUGUAAUUGUCAUUCCGGUUUGAAUUACUAUAAAUUUAAUACGAGUACAUUGCCCGCCUGGGAAAUGCUUACUUUUACCGAUCUUCUGAUACAUUCAACGACAAAUUUUUCAUAUUAAAUUAUAUUAAUACAACGAUCUUUAAUGUUUACACUGAAAUGCCCCUGAUAUGCGAAUUUAUUGACAUUUUCUUUCGGUUUGCUCCGCCGGCUGAUGUGAGAUGCUAGGCCGGUUGGUGCAUGAAAAUAAAACUGAUAAAAAUUUAUUUAUUCCGUACCCUACAACUUGCACACGAGAAUUGUUUGACUUCUACUUGUUUAUCGGUGUUGUUAGUAUUUCUAUUCAUUAGAUUAUAUUUAAUAUUUCUAAAUAUUUCAUUGAAUUACUUUGAUUUGUUCUUACCGCAGUUUUACUUGAUCGGGAAUUUCCCUUCAGUACAGUUCAACCAUUUUCCAAAUUUCGAGUUUUCUAGUGUCGAUUCAUGCAAACAAUUCUGGUUUUAAUGCAAAUCCAUUCCCUGAUAUGUUUCCUACUUGGCAUCAAUACUUGUUCUACGAUUUUCAAUCUCAGGAUUUGCAUUCCUGGAUUUCGACCAGCAACCCGCGAAGGUGGACUAAGACGACAACUGGACUAAAAUACCCAGAACAGUCCAAGAAAUUGAAGAUUGGAUUGCCGGUGUUGAUGAUGAUUCCAAAUACGAUUGAAUGAAAUUACAACAUUUUGAGACUGAUAUUGAUCAUUUUUAUGUAUUUUGUUAAAAGAUUUAAAAAAUAGCAUUAUAUAAUUGCAUAUUAUUAUCCUGUUUUCAUGCAUGUUUUGUUAAAAAUGGUGUAUAUAUUGAGAAAUUGAGUUUGUGAUUCUACAUGUUUCAAUAAAAUUGAUGUUUUAUAUUUUUAACUAUAAA